rnacentral:lncRNA from 1 species
AGAUUCAGGCUGUAUUUAGUGGGGGAGGGAUCUGGCCUCAUAUCCUUCAUCUUUAUGCUGCUCCACUCCAGCUCACAGCCCCUCCAACUGGAUGGAGCUCUUCGAAGGGAGGGGCAUUUCAGAGGAGGGUCUCAGGGAUAGCCCCUUUGUGGGGCUGGGCCACCAGGUUGGGGAGAGUGGAGCUGCUGGAACUCUGGAGGGACUGGCUGAGCCAGCUUUCCCAGUGCACCCCUCUGGGAGGGCAGGCUCUCGGUGUAGGCUGCCCAUCUCCUCGCUCUCCUCUGGCACUGCUCCUAUGCCCCCUUGGUUAGCCUGGGAGCCCAUACUACCCAGACUUGGGGUCAAUAAGCAGAGGACCUGUAAGGAGUCCUUGAUGGGAUGUACAGCACUGCCCAACCCUGCACAAGCCAUUUGUAAGAGAGGAUCAUGGAAUGAAUACGGGCAUUGAGUCAAGCAGUCUGUGUUCCACUGGCGGUGUGACCUGGGGCAGGCCAUUUCACCUCACUGAGCCUUAGUUUCCUCACCUGUAAAAUGUGAAAAAUAUCACCUUCCUUACCAGGCUUUUCUGAGGAUUUAAUGACAUCAUGUUCAGUGCCCAGUAUGGGUGGAUAAUACCCAGGAGUUUCCUCCUCUUCUCCUCCUAAGUUGACUUGAUGCCCCCCGCUGAAGAUCAUGGCUGAACUGGCUCAAUUCGGAUCCAGGACUCCUGGCUUUGUCUCUUCCCUAGUUGCCCACCACACCCAUGGACACCCUUAGGUAGUUUAUCCUUUUGGGACAACUGGAUUUAUUAGAAAAGGGUAUUCUGGGGUGGAAUAAGGCCCUUUUCAGUCCCCAUGGAGCCUUUUUGGAAGAUGAAGUUCUCAAACCCACAAGAGAAUUCAUAAGACGAGCACACCACCCACAGUUAGGUUUCCCUCUCAAGUGCUUUAUCUCCACGUGGGGCAAAUAGCUCUUUGUCUGCAUAUGUUAUUGGAGCUUUUGGAGUCCAGCCUUCAGAAGAGCUCUAAUUUUUGGAUUCAUAUCAGUUUAUUAGAGAAGCCUAGUUCUAAGGAUUAGCAAAUGGGUAGGUGCUCAGCCAGCCCAGAACAAGCAGAGCCAUGACAGAAGUUUCUGGAAUCUCACAGAGUCGGUGUCUUCAUGGACUCAGGGGGCCUAAAUCCAAUAGCCUGGAUUUGUCACUUUCCCUUAUUCCCUUAUCAAACUCUUCCCUUUUGGACAUCAGAGAAGGAAAGUACUUCCUGUAAGGGGGCAAUUUGCAAAGCUUCAUGGAAGUGGCAUUUGAGUGUGGCCUUAAAGGAUGUGUAGGAUUGGGAACCAUAGAUAUUUAGAGGAAGGCAUUCCUGGCAGAAGGAACAGCAGCAAAACACAGAAGUGGAAAUUAGUAGCAGCAUUAAUGGAGAAUAAUUUGGGGAAUAAGAUAUACAAAUGGAAUAAUAAAAAUAGCAUUAAUUAAA